rnacentral:rRNA from 1 species
UACAGAGGAUGCAAGCGUUAUCCGGAAUUAUUGGGCGUAAAGCGCGCGUAGGCGGUCUGUCGCGUCUGCUGUGAAAACUCGGGGCUUAACCCCGGGCCUGCAGUGGGUACGGGCAGACUAGAGUGCGGUAGGGGAGACUGGAAUUCCUGGUGUAGCGGUGAAAUGCGCAGAUAUCAGGAGGAACACCGGUGGCGAAGGCGGGUCUCUGGGCCGUAACUGACGCUGAGGAGCGAAAGCAUGGGGAGCGAACAGG